UCCAUGCAAAAACCAAAGCGUAGCUAAAAACAACAAUUUUUUAAAGGGGUUAUGUGCUGGACUAUUUCUUGACUGGGAACAGUUACCAGGCAACCAGCACCCAUGGACAGAGCUAGGCUAGCUCUUUCCCCCUGUUUCCAGUCUUUAUGCUAAGCUAAGCUAACCAGCAGCUAAGCUAACCUUCAUAUUACUGUAAAGAGAGAGUGGUAUCAAUCUUCUCAUCUAACUCUUGGCAAGAGAGCAAAUAAGUGUAUCCCCAAAAUGUCAAACUAAUACUUCAUUUACAUUUCAUUUACAUUUGUGAUUCAUUAUUAAAGUAUUAGUUAUAGCCUACCCUGCAGUGGCUGGCAACUUAGAUACUGGCUCCACAGUUCAUUCCCAAACCCUCAACUCACAGAGAGGAUGUGCUGAUGUCCACACUCAGACACGGGUGUGGGAAUGAUGAUACCAGGAUGCGUCAGAUGGCAGGUUUCUUUAAAUGUGCUAAAUCAGAUGAGCUUUGUUUGGAUGUACUGUACCUUUUCAUGCAGAGGCACUCAUUUCAAUCAUGAAAAUGUCUUCUCCAUGAUGAGCUGUUCUCCUCCACAUCCAAGCCCUCUCCUUCAUGAUGAGACCCUCUGUUGUAGCUGUAUCCAUAUCCAGGACUCACACACAUACAUAUGCACACAAAACUCAUUCAGACACACACACUGCCUCUCCUUACUCUCUCACACCCUUACACACACGUUCUGGUGCAAAUCAGACAGAAAAUAAUACACUUUGUAUUCAUGGAGAGACCCACUUAUUGAUGACUUCGCUGUUUGUGUAUGUCUUUGAAGAGUCUCAUAGAAUGUCAAAACAGUUUAUCAUGUUGAUCUAAAUUCCAAAAGGAGUUCAAUUACUUGUCUCAGCUAAUGUUUUAAUUUGACACCUCAGUACAGCACCAGAAUGAAAAUUAUGACACUUGACUAAGAGAAAAAGACAGAGCAGAGAGAGGAGGAGAGAAAGUAAAAGACAUGAUGAGACCUCAUUAAGGCUACAACGAAGCAAGCGUGUACGCGUGCACGCUCGUGUGUGUAACACAGCGAACAUGAUCCAGUCAUUUUUGUGUGUUUUUGUCUGCGUGUGUCUGCAUCAGUGUGUGUGUGUGUCAGUGUGUGUCAGUGUGUGUGUCAGUCAGAGCAGAUCUGGGAAGCCCCUGGGAGGGUUAAGUAGGGAAACAGCAGAGAUUGAGGUGGGGAAUUCUCAUCAAAAAUGUCCAAAUCAGGAAAGGUGUCGACAAGAGCCACCCUGCAAGGGGACAGAGGGGAACAGAGGUGUUGGAGGGGUGUGUGUGUGUGUGUGUGUGUGUGUGUGUGUGUGUGUGUGUGUGUGUGUGUGUGUGUGGAGUGUGCAGGAGUGCGUAGGAGUGUGUAAAGCCAAAGAUGAGAGAGUAGAAAGAGGAGAGCUACUGUAAGUCAGACAACCAAUUUAAUUAUAGGCCAGUGAUUGAUAACAGGCUGUGUGUGUGUGUGUAGGCCCUAUAUAAUAUCAGUCAGAGACCCUCAGGUGCAUUGUUCUGUGUGGUGUUUGUUUUUGUUCAUCUGUGUGAGUGCACAUGGUGUGUUUCUAUAGAAAGUGUCAUGUUCAUGUAAUUAUGAAACAUUUGUCUGUAGCCCUGCUGUGACCUCUGACCUCUCUGUCUCUCUCUGCUAGUCACAAUCUGGGCAUGCUUGUUGUCACUUUUCACACCUGAUAGAGUUUUUUUUUUUAAAUGUCCUGAAACCUUUUAAACCACAGUGUAAAGCAUGAAUAAGAACUAAGACUAUUGCUGGCUCAUCUGCAGAAUUGUUUAGCUAUAUAUAUAAUUAUAUAAAUACUAUCUUCACUCAAGUUUGAAUCAUACUAUGUUGACUUUUCUAGGAUUGACAUCUAGUCUGACAAUUGUUAUUUUCUCAUUUUAGUACAGUUACAUACUGACUGGUCUGUUUCACACACAGUCCACUCGGCUUCUGCUGAAAGAAAUCCCUUUGUCGAGUAAAGGUCUUUGAAAGCUCCUCGUUAACUCUGAGCACUUUUUCUAUUGUACAAUGACCAUUGUUAAGAGAAAAUUCCAGUAUUUAUUCUCAUGAUUGUGGCCAUUCUGACUCAUGCUAACUUUGCGCCCACCAAGAUACUGUUAGCUUGGUAGAUCACCAUGCAGUUAGCUACAAAAGUUGAGGAGCUACUUUCUGUGUUGACAAGCAUUUGAAUUGAUUUAUGUAAAAUUCAAGUUUAUUUGGAAAGCUUUAGGAGGUUCGCGCAGCUUGCGGCGAUUUCUGUUGUUUUGCUGGAGUCACAUUUCCUGAAUCUCUACAACAGAGGUGGCGAGUGCAAAGUUAGUAUGAUACAUUAGCCACUAUGGCUA